rnacentral:rRNA from 1 species
UGGGCGUGCAGAGCGUUGAUGCGGUUCCAUACGUUGGACGUUAUGGCCCCUGGCUCAACUCAGGGAGGUCGUUCAAUACUGCGUAACUUGAGUGCAGCUGAGCGAGGUGCAAUUCCCGGCGUAGCGCUGAAAUGCGUAGAUAUCGGGAGGAACACCAGUGGCGAAGGCGGCCUCCUGGGCUGCUCCUGACGCUGAAGGCGAAAGACUAGGGGAGCGAACGGGAUUAGAAACCCCGGUAGUCCUAGCCGUUAACGAUGAAUGCUGAGAUGUGGGGGGUAUAGAUUUCCUCCGUGCGGAAGCUAACGCGUUAAGCAUCCCGCCUGGGGACUACGUCCGCAAGGCUAAAACUCAAACGAAUUGACGGGUGCCCGCACAAGCAGCGGAGCGUGAUGGUUUAAUUCGAUCCUACACGAAGAACCUUACCUGGGUUUUACAUGCAAGUAGUAGUGAAGCGAAAGCGGAACGCCCCUUCGGGGAGCUUGCACAGGUGCUGCAUGGCUGUCGUCAGCUCGUGCCGUGAGGUGUCGGGUUAAGUCCCGUAUACGAGCGCAACCCUUGCCCUUAGUUAUACGUGUCUAAGGAGACUGCCCGGGACAACUGGGAGGAAGGUGGGGAUGACGUCAAGUCAGCAUGGCCUUUAUAUCCAGGGCGACAC